rnacentral:lncRNA from 1 species
GUCCAGUGUGAGGUGCAGCUGGUGGAGUCUGGGGGAGGCUUGGUACAGCCUGGGGGGUCCCUGAGACUCUCCUGUGCAGCCUCUGGAUUCACCUUUAGCAGCUAUGCCAUGAGCUGGGUCCGCCAGGCUCCAGGGAAGGGGCUGGAGUGGGUCUCAGCUAUUAGUGGUAGUGGUGGUAGCACAUACUACGCAGACUCCGUGAAGGGCCGGUUCACCAUCUCCAGAGACAAUUCCAAGAACACGCUGUAUCUGCAAAUGAACAGCCUGAGAGCCGAGGACACGGCCGUAUAUUACUGUUGACUACUGGGGCCAGGGAACCCUGGUCACCGUCUCCUCA